AGCGAACGCUGGCGGCAGACCUAACACAUGCAAGUCGAACGGACCCUUCGGGGUUAGUGGCGGACGGGUGAGUAACACGUGGGAACGUGCCUUUAGGUUCGGAAUAGCUCCUGGAAACGGGUGGUAAUGCCGAAUGUGCCCUUCGGGGGAAAGAUUUAUCGCCUUUAGAGCGGCCCGCGUCUGAUUAGCUAGUUGGUGAGGUAAAGGCUCACCAAGGCGACGACCAGUAGCUGGUCUGAGAGGAUGACCAGCCACAUUGGGACUGAGACACGGCCCAAACUCCUACGGGAGGCAGCAGUGGGGAAUCUUGCGCAAUGGGCGAAAGCCUGACGCAGCCAUGCCGCGUGAAUGAUGAAGGUCUUAGGAUUGUAAAAUUCUUUCACCGGGGACGAUAAUGACGGUACCCGGAGAAGAAGCCCCGGCUAACUUCGUGCCAGCCGCCGCGGUAAGAC
rnacentral:rRNA from 1 species